GACGAACGCUGGCGGCGUGCCUAAUACAUGCAAGUCGAACGCUUCUUUCCUCCCGAGUGCUUGCACUCAAUUGGAAAGAGGAGUGGCGUACGGGUGAGUAACACGUGGGUAACCUACCCAUCAGAGGGGGAUAACACUUGGAAACAGGUGCUAAUACCGCAUAACAGUUUAUGCCGCAUGGCAUAAGAGUGAAAGGCGCUUUCGGGUGUCGUUGAUGGAUGGACCCGCGGUGCAUUAGCUAGUUGGUGAGGUAACGGCUCACCAAGGCCACGAUGCAUAGCCGACCUGAGAGGGUGAUCGGCCACACUGGGACUGAGACACGGCCCAGACUCCUACGGGAGGCAGCAGUAGGGAAUCUUCGGCAAUGGACGAAAGUCUGACCGAGCAACGCCGCGUGAGUGAAGAAGGUUUUCGGAUCGUAAAACUCUGUUGUUAGAGAAGAACAAGGACGUUAGUAACUGAACGUCCCCUGACGGUAUCUAACCAGAAAGCCACGGCUAACUACGUG
rnacentral:rRNA from 1 species